AAGGUUACGCUGGCGGCGUGCUGUUACAUGGCUAGUCGUAACGAUGAAGCCCAGCUUGCUGGGUGGAUUAGUGGCGAACGGGUGAGUAACACGUGAGCAACCUGCCCCUGACUCUGGGAUAACAGCCGGAAACGGUUGCUAAUACCGGAUAUGCAUCAUGGCCGCAUGGUCUGUGAUGGGAAAGAUUUUUCGGUUGGGGAUGGGCUCGCGGCCUAUCAGCUUGUUGGUGAGGUAGUGGCUCACCAAGGCGUCGACGGGUAGCCGGCCUGAGAGGGUGACCGGCCACACUGGGACUGAGACACGGCCCAGACUCCUACGGGAGGCAGCAGUGGGGAAUAUUGCACAAUGGGCGGAAGCCUGAUGCAGCAACGCCGCGUGAGGGACGACGGCCUUCGGGUUGUAAACCUCUUUUAGCAGGGAAGAAGCGAAAGUGACGGUACCUGCAGAAAAAGCGCCGGCUAACUACGUGCCAGCAGCCGCGGUAAUACGUAGGGCGCAAGCGUUAUCCGGAAUUAUUGGGCGUAAAGAGCUCGUGGGCGGUUUGUCGCGUCUGCUGUGAAAACCCGAGGCUCAACCUCGGGCCUGCAGUGGGUACGGACAGACUAGAGUGCGGGUAGGGGAGAUUGCAAUUCCGGGGUGUAGCGGUGAAUGCCAAUAUCAGGAGAACACCGAUGGCGAAGGCAGAUCUCUGGCCGUUACUGACGCU
rnacentral:rRNA from 1 species